ACAAAAUGAUGAGCUUCCACUUCAUUGGCCUGUGUUUCUAAAACAAAUGAUAUUUAUGGUAAUUCUGAUUUG
ensembl:snoRNA SNORD18 Small nucleolar RNA SNORD18